rnacentral:lncRNA from 10 species
UGCCUAAAAAUUUUUUUUCUUUUAGGCCUGCAAAGAAAACAUCAAAGAAGAAGGUCAAAAACCAAUUACAUUCUAGGAGUGACCUUGAUGACUUAACUCUGUAAUCUGCAGCAACCUCAGAGGAUCAUGGGAUGCAUUAUGCACGUCAUGGAAUGGAUUGUAAUGUGUAACAUCUAUGAAAUCAAAGGAUGAAGAAGAUCGUGCCCAGAGCUCUCCUUGGGGGUGGAUGACAGAAUGAACAUUUACUCUGGGCUCACUGGAAAAGCUCCAACGUCUUGGAAAUUGAGUGGGUAAGCACAACCUUGAGCACAUUGUCAGCAUUCCAUUUCUUUUUUGAAUAAGAAUAUGCAGUUUUACCAAUAUCAUUGGUUCAAGAGGCUUUCCUUUCCCAGUUGUGUAUUCUUGGCACCUUUGUUGAAGAUCACUUGACUGUGUAUGUGUGCAUUUAGUUCUGGGCUCUCUUUUCUCUCCCAGGGGUUCUAAUGGGUGCCCUUAUGCUAGGACCAUGCUGUCUAAAUUUCUGUGGCUUUGUUGUAAAUUUGAAUCUUAUGAAUGUCUGUCCUCCAACACUAUUCUUUUUCAUGUUAUCAUGGCUAUUUGAGGCCAUGGGAAAAUUCAUAAAAAUAAUUUUAGGAUUAGCUUUUCCAUUUCUGCACACAUGGCCAUUACCAGUUCGAUAAUAGUUGUUUUGAGUCUGUAGAUCAUUUGUGUAAUAUUGUGUAUUAGUAAGAUUUAGACUUCCUAUCCAUGAAUACAGGAUGCCUUUUCACUUAUUUUUACCUUCUUUGCUUUCUUUCAGUAGUCUUUCUUUCUAAUCACUCUACAAGUAUUUCACCUCCUUGGUUAGGUUUAUUCCUAAGUAUUUAGUUAUUUUAGAUGUUAUUAUAAGUGGGAUUACAUUUGUCAUCUUCUUGUUGGAUCAUUCACUGUUGGUUUGUAUUAACAAACCAAUCAUUUGAAUAUUGGCCUUGUACCCUGCAACUUUGAUGUAAUUAUUAACACUAAUAGCAUUCUUGGAGAUUAUUUCUGAUUUUCUAUAUGUAGAAUGAUAGAGAAGUUCUGUUUCACACCUAUUUUCUCAAGAUAGUCUAUAUUGAUACUGUAAAGAUAUGUUCAUAUUCACCUACUGAAUGAUGUCCUUCCAAAAGGCCUUGUUAGAUUAUUCAAAAAAUAUUUUGUCAUUACAUUCCACAAUUUAAUAAAAAAUAG